rnacentral:tRNA from 1 species
ACUACUUUGGCAGAUUAGUGCGUUAAAUUUAGAAUUUAUUUAUGUAAUUCUUAUUACAUGUAGUA